UACGAAGGGGCUAGCGUUGCUCGGAAUCACUGGGCGUAAAGGGUGCGUAGGCGGCGCGGUAAGUCGGGUGUGAAAUUUCGGAGCUUAACUCCGAAACUGCAUUCGAUACUGCGGUGCUUGAGGACUGGGAGAGGAGACUGGAAUUCAUGGUGUAGCAGUGAAAUGCGUAGAGAUCAUGAGGAAGACCAGUGGCGAAGGCGGGUCUCUGGACAGUUCCUGACACUGAGACACGAAGGCCAGGGGAGCAAACGGG
rnacentral:rRNA from 1 species